rnacentral:snRNA from 1 species
GUGAGCAUGCCUGUCGGG